GAGCCCAGGCAUUUCACACUGUAUCAAGCUGAACUGUGAUUCAGAUCAGAAAACCCGGUUCUUGUUUAGCUACAGAAAGGCAAAAGUGGGGGCAGAGGGGUAGGCACUAAAUGCAGGGAACGCAUACUGGUUGGCUUUGAUAAUCUUUUGAACUAGAGCCUAAAAUGCAAAAGACUGAAGGUUUACAAUUUCUUUUCUUUCAGGCUGUUUCUAGAAUUAACCCAUUCAGAAGUAGCAUGUAAUGAGCAGGAUUUCCAAAAUCAUUCAGGUGGACAGUCUAUGGCAAUCAUCUUCCUUGGAAACGAAGGGAAAUUCAUCAGAUCAUCCACCUUUUUCAGAUACUGAGAGAGAAACUGAAAUGAGCAGUCGGAGGUAGCACGCGUUUGCCUUCUGCAGACCGCGCACCUCUCUGGAGCGGAUCAGAAGAGCAGAAGGACCUAACUCGUGCAGACAAACCGAGAACACGAGGAGUUUACCAUUCAGGCUAAAAAUGCUUUGAAGGAUGUUGUGUCCCUCAACCAUAUUAAGAAAUCAAGAUUUUGGUCUUCCAUGACCUUUCAUGGCCGGAUGGAUUUAGUUUUGUUGAUUCUCACAAAAAAAUACCAGAUUUCUUUCUGAUUGGACGUGGUUACCGGGGGUGGGGGGGAGGGGGGAGGGAAUGUAAAAUCUACCUAUAUAAAAGACCAACUAAACCUUCAUAUGGUGAUGUUUGUUCUCGGCUCCGCUACUGAUGUGCCGUAUAACCUUUGGCGAGUCACUUUACAGAGUCGCUCCGCUGUUUCCCCUUCUGUCUUUUGUAGUCCCCAUUUUGACUGCAAACCCUUUGGUGCAAGAUUUAUCAUGUAUGUGUGCAGUGCUGAGAACAAAGCAACCCAAUAUUAGAUGGGUCCCUUCAGGUACAACUAAAAUACAAACAUUUCCCAAUAAUUAUUAUUAAUCCCUCGGGGAGAUAAUUUUUCCUGCUCAAUACUGGAGCUCAGUGUAUCUGCGAAUAUUCAUUGUUAACAGUAUAUUUUUUAUUAACAUUAUUUUCUGAUCCUAAAUCCUCAUUGUGACCCACUGUAUCUUUUUCUCGCGCCUUUACAUGAUAUGGAAGUGAAGAAAAGAAUAAUAAAAGAAGAUCACGCGUUGCUGCAUGAAAGCCUAGGGCCAAAUCACAAGCGGGAGUCACACCCUGAUGCCACCAGCUGAGAACAUAGGUUUUUUAUUUGCAAGGGCCUCGCACUGAUUUCCUCUCCGAUCACCUCGAAUACAAAAACUCUUAAAAUGAGCUCACAGAGUUUAGCCUCACGUUAGCCAACAUAUUGCUAGAUAUCCCUUUCUAUAUAAUGUUUAACCCUAUAUUUUCACCUGGCAACCUUUCUGAGUGCCUUCAUUUUUGGAGUGCAUAAUAGUGGAGGAAGCACUUAGACAUAAGGCAGACUACAAAGAUGUAUUUCACAACCCAGCGUCUUACUGACAAAAACAGCACAUGAACCCCCAUAUAAAUGGUGUGAAACAUUUUCUUAAAAAUCAAUCAGCCUCUAUUAUUCAGUUUAAGCCCGAUCUCAUUGUCUACUUCUUCCUCUGGAGGCCGAUUUUUGCCAGGUAGAAAAUUAAGUUUCCUUUACUUUUCUUCCCUACACAAUCUUUCAGCAUCUCAACGCUGUUGUUCGGUGUGGGAAACCGACUUCCUGUCUCAAUAAACAAGUGCACACAAGGCUUUUCUGGACACAUAAUGGGGUCUUUUUUUAUUUUAUACAAAAAUCAUUCCACACUUAACACAUCAAUGAAGCCACUUAAGCUCUACUGCAUCUGAAUUAAAGGCGGAAUUGUGUGAUCAAAGAGUGUGAAAGAACCACACAUGGAGUUGUUCAGACACUUUACUUUUGUUACAUUUGAUACAUAACAAACCCAAUAAAUAUGCUUAUCCCAGUAGCUCGUUUCAUUAUCUCAUAUGCUUAUGUUUAAGAGCAUUUCCUUAACUCAU